rnacentral:lncRNA from 1 species
CGGAGGUAAGAAUGAUUAGUGUACAAAUUUAAUUAGUUAAAAGGUUGAUUCGCACUUAUUGCAACAUAGGAUGAGAUUAAAACUUUUGCAAUAUUUAAAGGAUGAAAAAUACAAUUUACUUUUUUUAGUUUUACAGAUGUUUAAUUUCAAGCUAAUUUAGUUUUAAAGGAAAUUUAUGUGGAAAAUUUGCUGCUAUUGAAAAACAAAAUUAUGUGUCACAUACAUAAAAUUUAAAAGGACAAGAGACGUAUGAGUCAUCACUAUAGUUUCAAAGAUCUCGAAAAAAACUAAACCAUCAUUCAC